GGCCGCAGCGUGUCCGCGGAGCUCCCGAGGGAUCGUGCGCGUCGCCGCCGCGGCCCACGGAAGCGGGGCCGUGCGCUCCCGCCCGCGGGUAGUCGUGGCCGAGCGGUUAAGGCGACGGGCUAGAAAUCCGUUGGGGUGUCCCCGCGCAGGCAACCGGAUCGGAUGCAAAAGAAGCGAGCUGCAUGCGUCACGAUGAGUAGUACAGAAGGAGAACGGUAACCCGACAGCGGGGACGAUGGGGACAGGCAGCAUCCUGUGCCGCCCAGAGACCUACUUCGGUGGACUCGACCUCAUCUGCGUGGUGCUCGGCUAAAAGCGCACAACCUGAAUUUAACUUUCGGGAAAGCAUCAAACUCAAGGGUGAGGAGGCGUUCUACAAAAUACCUGCCCAAGUUAGGCUUUGAAGGUCAAUGAGAUGAAACACAAAGAUGGGGGCGCUCUUCCAGACGAAAGGACUAAGGAGGCAGGACAAAUGAAUGUCAUCUGUUUUUCUUGAAAUAAAGGAUUCGCACAAUUGGCAAAACAGUAACAAGGUCUCUAGAUCAAAUAAGAGUGUUAAUCCAGAUUUCAUAACUGUUCUGUGCUUAGGAAAGAGAACGUCCCUGGUUUUAGGAAAUACACACUGAAGUAUUUAGUGGUAAGGGGACAUCUUGUCUGAAGCACACUAGAAAAAAAUUAUGUAUGUGUAAACAUUUCUAUAUAUCUAGCUAUUAAAAAACACAUAUCAUAAAUUAA